rnacentral:rRNA from 1 species
CAAUUCCUACGGGGGGCAGCAGUGGGGAAUAUUGCACAAUGGGGGAAACCCUGAUGCAGCAACGCCGCGUGAAGGAAGACGGUUUUCGGAUUGUAAACUUCUGUUCUUAGUGAAGAAGAAUGACGGUAGCUAAGGAGCAAGCCACGGCUAACUACGUGCCAGCAGCCGCGGUAAUACGUAGGUGGCAAGCGUUGUCCGGAAUUACUGGGUGUAAAGUGAGCGCAGGCGGUAAGCCAAGUCAGCUGUGAAAACUAC